GGUGGGGAUGACGUCAAGUCCUCAUGGCCUUUAUGCCCAGGGCUACACACGUACUACAAUGGGCGGUACAAAGGGAAGCGAGUCCGCGAGGAGGAGCCAACCCCAAAAAGCCGUUCACAGUUCGGAUCGGAGUCUGCAACUCGACUCCGUGAAGUUGGAAUCGCUAGUAAUCGCGGAUCAGCAUGCCGCGGUGAAUACGUUCCCGGGCCUUGUACACACCGCCCGUCACACCACGAAAGUCGGCUGUACCAGAAGUGCGUGGGCUAACUUUUCGGAGAGGCAGCGUACCAAGGUGUGGUCGGUAAUUGGGGCG
rnacentral:rRNA from 1 species